rnacentral:rRNA from 1 species
UACGGAGGAUGCGAGCGUUAUCCGGAUUUAUUGGGUUUAAAGGGUGCGCAGGCGGAAUGUCAAGUCAGCGGUAAAAUUUCGGGGCUCAACCCCGGCGAGCCGUUGAAACUGGCUGUCUUGAGAUGUCGAGAGGUAUGCGGAAUGCGCAGUGUAGCGGUGAAAUGCUUAGAUAUUAGGAAGAACACCAGUGGCGAAGGCGGAUGACUGGACGACAACUGACGGUGAGGCGCGAAAGCGUGGGGAGCAAACAGG